rnacentral:rRNA from 1 species
AAUCAACGCUGGCGGCGUGCCUCAGACAUGCAAGUCGAACGCGAAAGUCCCCUUCGGGGGACAAGUAGAGUGGCGCACGGGUGAGUAACACGUAGGUAAUCUACCUUCGGAUGGGGAAUAACAAUCGGAAACGGUUGCUAAUACCGCAUAAUGCAGCGGCACCUAAUGGUGACAGUUGUUAAAGCGGGGGAUCGAAAGACCUCGCGUCUGAAGAGGAGCCUGCGGCGGAUUAGCAGCUGGUAAGGUAAUGGCUUACCAAGGCUACGAUCCGUAACCGGCCUGAGAGGGCGGUCGGUCACACUGACACUGACAUACGGGUCAGACUCCUACGGGAGGCAGCAGUCGGGAAUUUUGGGCAAUGGGCGAAAGCCUGACCCAGCAACGCCGCGUGAAGGAUGAAAUCCCUCGGGAUGUAAAACUUCGCAAGAACGGGAAGAAUAAGUAGGGACAACUACCCCCUAUGAUGACGGUACCGUUUGUAAGCUCCGGCUAACUCCGUGCCACGCCGCCGCCGUAAC